AACCUUUUGUUAACCAACAAGUAACCCAAGGUAAACACUUUGAUUGUGAAGGCGAAUUUUUUUAAGACGGUGGUGACGAAAACUGUGGUGGCUGGAAGGCGAUUUACGGUUUCAGAUUGACGCUUUCAAAGACGGUGGUGGCGGGCAAGUUGCUUUGCGGUUUUUAAGACGGUAGUGCGAUUACUUUGACAGCGGUGGCGCUGGUAGGCGAUUUGCAGUUACGAAGACGGUGGUUGUUGGCGAUUUGCGGUUACGAAGACGGUAGUGGCCCUAAUAGAUCUUAAUUUGACAGGAUAAUUGUAUGAAUAUUGGUGGUAAAGUGAAGGCCCAAAGGCAUGUGUUGAGGAACAUGACAGGAGAAGCUCUCGGCCGCCUAAUUAAACGUGUCGGAUUGAAUCCUUUACAAGGAUAUGUCAAACAUUUGAUGAGAGAACAACUAGUGGGUGACGGAGAUGGGAUUUGGAGGCCUUCUUGAUUUACCACCUAAUUUGCAACUUCCGAGGAAACUUAGCUAUUGGCUAUUGAGCCGCGUUGAUCCAUUAAGUCGAAAAUUGAUAGGCACUGAUGGAAAAGAGUUUAAAUUUUCAAAGAACCAAGUCCAUUAGGUUUUUGGAAUUCCAAAUGGAGGACUUCAUGUGCCCACCAAGAAAUCAUUGAACACUGAAAUGCGUGCAAAGACCUACGAGAUAUUGGGACAGUAUGGAAAAUCAUGGGAGGGUAAGUCAAGAAAGUUUCUUGGCCGCACGUAUACGUCUACAAGAAUUCCUAUCAGUUCUAGCAUGAUGGAUAGGUUGGAGGGUUAUUGGGAGACACACGACAAAGAAGAGUUUAAGAUCUUGUUUCUUUUGCUUGUAUUGCAAAUGCUGCUAUGUGUAUGAAUAUGAUUCAUGUUUUUCCGCUGCGUAGUACCUAUAAUCUCCUGCAAUGGUAUCAGUUAGCCUAUUGCAUUUAUGCAUAUUAACUAUAAUUCUUUGAUAGUCCACAAUUUUAAUUCAAUUAA